rnacentral:rRNA from 1 species
UACAGAGGUCCCAAGCGUUGUUCGGAUUCACUGGGCGUAAAGGGUGCGUAGGUGGCCAGGUAAGUUCGGUGUGAAAGCUCGGAGCUUAACUCCGAAAUGGCAUUGAAUACUAUCUGGCUAGAGGGUCGGAGGGGAGACUGGAAUCCUCGGUGUAGCAGUGAAAUGCGUAGAUAUCGAGAGGAACACCGGUGGCGAAGGCGGCAUUCUGGACCGAAACUGACGCUGAGGCGCGAAAGCCAGGGGAGCAAACGGG